AUGCGACGGCGUUCAUUGUGUACAAACUUGAUGAAGUGGCUUGGUUGUUGAACCUAAGAGGAAAAGAUGUUCCAUCUAACCCUUUCUUCUUCGCGUUCGUCAUCGUCACCAAGGACAAAGUCAAAGUUUAUGUUGAAGACUCCAAGUUAACCAAGGACGUUAGAGAACAUUUAGACAAAGUUGAGUUACGUCCUUAUAACACAUCCGUUCUGAUUGCUGACAUUAAAGCAGAAGCAACUAAAGCCAACGCAAAAAUAUG